AGCCACCACAGCCGCAGCCUCUUCUUCCUCCCCUGCUCUAUUUCCUCUCCUUCUCUUCCAGCUGUAGCUGCCACAGCCGCAGCUGCCUCCCCUUCUCAUCUUCCUCUCUUCUUCCCUUUUCCUUUCUCUUCUUCUUCCUUUCCUUCUCUUCUUUCCCAGUUGCACUGCUGCAGUCGCAGCCUCAGCCACGGCCGCAGCCUCUUCUUCCUCCCCUGCUUAUCUUCCUUUCCUUCUUCUCUUCCAACUGCAGCUGCCAUCGCCGUAGCCGCAGCCCCUUCUUCCCCUUCUCUUCUUCCUCUUCUUCCCUUCUUCCUUCCUCUUCCUCUUUCCCUGCCACAACUGCAGCUGCCACAGCUGCAGCCGCAGCUACUUCUUUCCCUUCUCCUCUUCCUUCUCCUUCCUUUCUUCUUCUUCUCUUCUUCUCCUUCCUCCCCUUCUUCUCCUUCCUCCCCUUCUUCUCCCCGACGAACAGCACCUCCUCUCCUCUGUUUCCUCCUGCAGGAAACAGAGGUGCCGCCUCUUUACCCGCUUCUACUUCUUCUCUUCCUCUUCUUCAUCUUCUCCUUCUUCUCCUUCUUCUUCUCCUCUUCUUCCCUUCUCCUACCUGACACCC
rnacentral:lncRNA from 1 species